GCUGCCCGSGACAUUGCGAGAAGUCCACUGAACCUUAUCAUUUAGAGGAAGGAGAAGUCGUAACAAGGUUUCCGUAGGUGAACCUGCGGAAGGAUCAUUGUCGAAACCUGCAAAAGCAGAACGACCCGCGAACACGUAUUACUACUCACCUCGGCAACGUACGGGCCUCGGUCCGAAACGUUGCCGAACCAAAACUAACCAUCGAGCGCGGUAUGCGCCAAGGAAAACGAAAAGAACACAACCGCCCCUUUGCGGCUCCGAAACGGCGCUCGCCUCGGGGAUGCGUUUGUUCUAUUAAGUCAUAACGACUCUCGGCAACGGAUAUCUCGGCUCUCGCAUCGAUGAAGAACGUAGCGAAAUGCGAUACGUGGUGUGAAUUGCAGAAUUCCGUGAACCAUCGAGUUUUUGAACGCAAGUUGCGCCCGAAGCCAUUCGGCCGAGGGCACGCCUGCCUGGGCGUCACGCAUCGUUGCCCCCUUUUCAAGCCCUACUCCUAUGCAAAUGGGGGUCGAGCUUGUCGAUCGGGCGUACAUUGGCUUCCCGUUUGCUCAGCCUUCCGGUUGGCCUAAAAUCGAAUUCCUUAGCUGCGAACGCCGUGGCACUUGGUGGUAUUCGAUCAAAUCGUAGCCCGCCACGCGCGUUUGUCAGUCUAACGGACGGUAUUUACACCCAAAUGCGCACCCUUAACGGGGCGGCGCUUCCAACGCGACCCCAGGGCAGGCGGGGAUUACCCCGCUGAAUUUAAGCAUAUCAAUAAGCGGGAGGAAAAAGAAACUU
rnacentral:rRNA from 1 species